UUUUAAUCCAUGGCGGAAGUUUAACAAGAUCUGAAGUAAAAUAUCUGAACCAUAUGUAACAAGAACAACAACAUUAAAUCCAAGAUCCAAGUCGUAAUAUUAAACAGAUAAACUAGACGACACUUAAUUUAAUUUUGCCAUUCAUGUACGAAGGGAGAUGGCCAGACGGACAAUAUCAGUGGAAAGUGAUAAGGAGAAAAAGAGAAGUGAUGCUACUGUUUGGAUAAGGAAUCCUUUUCCGUAAAAACAUCAGGAACAUUAGGUGAUUUCGGAAGCAGGAGAGAUGAAAAAUGAGCUACGUCUUCGUCAGGA